CACUGUCUCCACCCGAGACUCAGUGAAAUUGAAAUCGCUGUGAAGAUGCAGUGUACCCGCGGCUAGACGGAAAGACCCCGUGAACCUUUACUAUAGCUUUGCACUGGACUUUGAAUAUGCUUGUGUAGGAUAGGUGGGAGGCUUUGAAGCGGUAACGCCAGUUAUCGUGGAGCCAUCCUUGAAAUACCACCCUGGUUUGUUUGAGGUUCUAACCUAGGUCCGUUAUCCGGAUCGGGGACAGUGUAUGGUGGGUAGUUUGACUGGGGCGGUCUCCUCCCAAAGAGUAACGGAGGAGCGCGAAGGUACCCUCAGCUUGGUCGGAAAUCAAGCAAUGAGCGCAAAGGUAUAAGGGUGCUUGACUGCGAGACAGACACGUCGAGCAGGAACGAAAGUUGGUCUUAGUGAUCCGGUGGUUCUGUAUGGAAGGGCCAUCGCUCAACGGAUAAAAGGUACUCCGGGGAUAACAGGCUGAUUCCUCCCAAGAGUUCAUAUCGACGGGGGAGUUUGGCACCUCGAUGUCGGCUCAUCACAUCCUGGGGCUGUAGCCGGUCCCAAGGGUAUGGCUGUUCGCCAUUUAAAGUGGUACGCGAGCUGGGUUUAGAACGUCGUGAGACAGUUCGGUCCCUAUCUGCCGUGGGCGUUUGAGAUUUGACAGGAUCUGCUCCUAGUACGAGAGGACCGGAGUGGACGUACCUCUGGUGUUCCGGUUGUCACGCCAGUGGCAUUGCCGGGUAGCUAUGUACGGUCGGGAUAACCGCUGAAAGCAUCUAAGCGGGAAACCCACCUGAAGAUGAGAUCUCACUAGAGCUUCGAGCUCUCUAAAGGGCCGUUGGAGACUACGACGUUGAUAGGCUGGGUGUGGAAGUGCGGUAACGCAUGAAGCUAACCAGUACUAAUUGCCCGUGAGGCUUGACCAU
rnacentral:rRNA from 1 species